AGCUUUGCGCAGUGGCAGUAUCGUAGCCAAUGAGGUUUAUCCGAGGCGCGAUUAUUGCUAAUUGAAAACUUUUCUCAAGUGUCACCUUCCUCAUGAAGCCCCAUGAAGUUUUCCCUAACAACUCCAGGUUG
rnacentral:snRNA from 1 species